rnacentral:rRNA from 3 species
AGACCCGAAACCCGGUGAUCUAGCCAUGGGCAGGUUGAAGGUUGGGUAACACUAACUGGAGGACCGAACCGACUAAUGUUGAAAAAUUAGCGGAUGACCUGUGGCUGGGGGUGAAAGGCCAAUCAAACCGGGAGAUAGCUGGUUCUCCCCGAAAGCUAUUUAGGUAGCGCCUCGUGAAUUCAUCUCCGGGGGUAGAGCACUGUUUCGGCUAGGGGGCCAUCCCGGCUUACCAACCCGAUGCAAACUGCGAAUACCGGAGAAUGUUAUCACGGGAGACACACGGCGGGUGCUAACGUCCGUCGUGAAGAGGGAAACAACCCAGACCGCCAGCUAAGGUCCCAAAGUCAUGGUUAAGUGGGAAACGAUGUGGGAAGGCCCAGACAGCCAGGAUGUUGGCUUAGAAGCAGCCAUCAUUUAAAGAAAGCGUAAUAGCUCACUGGUCGAGUCGGCCUGCGCGGAAGAUGUAACGGGGCUAAACCAUGCACCGAAGCUGCGGCAGCGACACUGUGUGUUGUUGGGUAGGGGAGCGUUCUGUAAGCCUGUGAAGGUGUGUCGUGAGGCAUGCUGGAGGUAUCAGAAGUGCGAAUGCUGACAUAAGUAACGAUAAAGCGGGUGAAAAGCCCGCUCGCCGGAAGACCAAGGGUUCCUGUCCAACGUUAAUCGGGGCAGGGUGAGUCGACCCCUAAGGCGAGGCCGAAAGGCGUAGUCGAUGGGAAACGGGUUAAUAUUCCCGUACUUGGUGUUACUGCGAAGGGGGGACGGAGAAGGCUAUGUUGGCCGGGCGACGGUUGUCCCGGUUUAAGCGUGUAGGUGUGUGUUCCAGGUAAAUCCGGUUCACUUUAACACUGAGGCGUGACGACGAGGCACUACGGUGCUGAAGCAACAAAUGCCCUGCUUCCAGGAAAAGCCUCUAAGCAUCAGGUAACAUCAAAUCGUACCCCAAACCGACACAGGUGGUCAGGUAGAGAAUACCAAGGCGCUUGAGAGAACUCGGGUGAAGGAACUAGGCAAAAUGGUGCCGUAACUUCGGGAGAAGGCACGCUGACACGUAGGUGAAGUGAUUUACUCAUGGAGCUGAAGUCAGUCGAAGAUACCAGCUGGCUGCAACUGUUUAUUAAAAACACAGCACUGUGCAAACACGAAAGUGGACGUAUACGGUGUGACGCCUGCCCGGUGCCGGAAGGUUAAUUGAUGGGGUCAGCGCAAGCGAAGCUCCUGAUCGAAGCCCCGGUAAACGGCGGCCGUAACUAUAACGGUCCUAAGGUAGCGAAAUUCCUUGUCGGGUAAGUUCCGACCUGCACGAAUGGCGUAAUGAUGGCCAGGCUGUCUCCACCCGAGACUCAGUGAAAUUGAACUCGCUGUGAAGAUGCAGUGUACCCGCGGCAAGACGGAAAGACCCCGUGAACCUUUACUAUAGCUUGACACUGAACAUUGAGCCUUGAUGUGUAGGAUAGGUGGGAGGCUUUGAAGUGUGGACGCCAGUCUGCAUGGAGCCGACCUUGAAAUACCACCCUUUAAUGUUUGAUGUUCUAACGUGGACCCGUUACCCGGGUUGCGGACAGUGUCUGGUGGGUAGUUUGACUGGGGCGGUCUCCUCCUAAAGAGUAACGGAGGAGCACGAAGGUUGGCUAAUCCUGGUCGGACAUCAGGAGGUUAGUGCAAUGGCAUAAGCCAGCUUGACUGCGAGCGUGACGGCGCGAGCAGGUGCGAAAGCAGGUCAUAGUGAUCCGGUGGUUCUGAAUGGAAGGGCCAUCGCUCAACGGAUAAAAGGUACUCCGGGGAUAACAGGCUGAUACCGCCCAAGAGUUCAUAUCGACGGCGGUGUUUGGCACCUCGAUGUCGGCUCAUCACAUCCUGGGGCUGAAGUAGGUCCCAAGGGUAUGGCUGUUCGCCAUUUAAAGUGGUACGCGAGCUGGGUUUAGAACGUCGUGAGACAGUUCGGUCCCUAUCUGCCGUGGGCGCUGGAGAACUGAGGGGGGCUGCUCCUAGUACGAGAGGACCGGAGUGGACGCAUCACUGGUGUUCGGGUUGUCAUGCCAAUGGCACUGCCCGGUAGCUAAAUGCGGAAGAGAUAAGUGCUGAAAGCAUCUAAGCACGAAACUUGCCCCGAGAUGAGUUCUCCCUGAGACUUAGAGUCUCCUGAAGGAACGUUGAAGACGACGACGUUGAUAGGCCGGGUGUGUAAGCGCAGCGAUGCGUUGAGCUAACCGGUACUAAUGAACCGUGAGGCUUAACCUU